GGGCUUGACAUCCCACGAACCUGCCCGAAAGGGUAGGGUGCCCGCAAGGGAGCGUGGAGACAGGUGGUGCAUGGCUGUCGUCAGCUCGUGUCGUGAGAUGUUGGGUUAAGUCCCGCAACGAGCGCAACCCUCACCCCUUGUUGCCACCGGGUCAUGCCGAGCACUCUAGGGGAACUGCCAGCGUCAAGCUGGAGGAAGGCGGGGAUGACGUCAAGUCAUCAUGCCCCUUACGCCCUGGGCGACACACGUGCUACAAUGGCUGGUACAAAGGGAUGCAAGACCGCGAGGUGGAGUUAAUCCCAAAAAACCGGUCUAAGUUCAGAUUGCAGUCUGCAACUCGACUGCAUGAAGGAGGAAUCGCUAGUAAUCGCGCAUCAGCACGGCGCGGUGAAUACGUUCCCGGGCCUUGUACACACCGCCCGUCACACCACGAAAGUCGGCUGUACUCGAAGUCGCUGAG
rnacentral:rRNA from 1 species